rnacentral:tRNA from 1 species
GACUUAAAAUCCGUUGGCUUUGUUGACCGUGAGGGUUCAAGUCCCUCUACCCCCA